UAUGAGGCCAGCUCUGAAGCCAUGAUGGUCAUUUCAAGCAGUAGCUCCGAUUGGACCUGGGUAUCAAUAUCAUCAACUCCUCCUUCUUUUCUCCUUUGUUGUUUUCUACUCAUGCUUCAUCCUGCUUUUCACAUAACUUCAUGAUCUGAGCUAAGGUAAACUCAGUAAGUUGUUUGAAUUAGUAUAAGCAGAGCUGAUAUAGCUUGAGUAGGUAUAAAACUACCUAGUGAAUAACCUGCCAGAUCGAUUCAUCUUCGUGGGGGCACAGCAAGUUUCCUCCUCCCUCUCUGAAAGGAAGACAGACAGAAACUUUUAGAGGAGAAAGGAAAAUAUAGCAAAAUUUGAACAAAAUCAACUAUUUUAGUUACAGUAUUUCCUGGUCUUGCUUCUCCGCUUUUCCUUCUUAUCUUGUAAACUUAGCCUGCAAUCUUUACACUUCAAGGAAUAUUCCAUGGAAAGAAUCUAGAAUCAAUAGAAAAUAACCGAGGAAAAUGUAGCAAAUAGUAGUACAAUCAUGUUUAGUAGGCUGGUUUUAGCGUAACUAUUAGAUUCUCCUUUAACCAUGACAUCUUCCUUUUACCUUAAUUCAAAAUCAUUUAAGUAACUAAAAAGUGAGAAUAAUCUUUGCUCCUUCUGUGCAGACC
rnacentral:lncRNA from 1 species